rnacentral:rRNA from 1 species
AACGAACGCUGGCGGCAUGCCUAACACAUGCAAGUCGAACGAGACCUUCGGGUCUAGUGGCGCACGGGUGCGUAACGCGUGGGAAUCUGCCCGUGGGUUCGGAAUAACAGUUGGAAACGACUGCUAAUACCGGAUGAUGACGUAAGUCCAAAGAUUUAUCGCCCAGGGAUGAGCCCGCGUAGGAUUAGCUAGUUGGUGGGGUAAAGGCCUACCAAGGCGACGAUCCUUAGCUGGUCUGAGAGGAUGAUCAGCCACACUGGGACUGAGACACGGCCCAGACUCCUACGGGAGGCAGCAGUGGGGAAUAUUGGACAAUGGGCGAAAGCCUGAUCCAGCAAUGCCGCGUGAGUGAUGAAGGCCUUAGGGUUGUAAAACUCUUUUACCCGGGAUGAUAAUGACAGUACCGGGAGAAUAAGCCCCGGCUAACUCCGUG